UAUAUGAAUGGUUGCUGACAACUCUGUAAGAUUUUUAAAAAAUUAUUAUAAUAAAUAAAUCAUAAGGUGCUAAACUUAUAAAAUGACCAAAUAAUGGUUUGUUUGAUACUUGCAAAUUAAGGAUUCAAAAUAUGGCUGAAAUACUAAAAAUGGUUUAUGCUUUAAUCAUCUGGAUUUCUUUAAUUCUUGUUGUAACCGGCCAUAGUUUUCUUCCUUGCGUAACAACUGAGGAUUGUGCUGAUGAUAUAUGUACCCAUCCUCAAAUACCAUUGUGUUAUAUGGAAAAUUGUCAUUGUGCCUAAACGUAGCAAUUAUAUUAAAAAUAACUAUUAUAUGUUGCUUCUAAUAAGUUUAAUAUUUGGUGAUUGAAUAAUUAGUUUACAAUUUGAUUUGUAUGUCACAAUGUUUCUAAUAUUAUAAAAUUUCUUGCAUUUUUCUUUA